rnacentral:rRNA from 1 species
GUGCACGCUGGCGGUAGGCCUAACACCUGCAAGUCGAACGGCAGCACAGUAAGAGCUUGCUCUUACGGGUGGCGAGUGGCGGGCGGGUGAGGAAUACAUCGGAAUCUACUUUUUCGUGGGGGAUAACGUAGGGAAACUUACGCUAAUACCGCAUACGACCUACGGGUGAAAGCAGGGGAUCUUCGGACCUUGCGCGAUUGAAUGAGCCGAUGUCGGAUUAGCUAGUUGGCGGGGUAAAGGCCCACCAAGGCGACGAUCCGUAGCUGGUCUGAGAGGAUGAUCAGCCACACUGGAACUGAGACACGGUCCAGACUCCUACGGGAGGCAGCAGUGGGGAAUAUUGGACAAUGGGCGCAAGCCUGAUCCAGCCAUACCGCGUGGGUGAAGAAGGCCUUCGGGUUGUAAGGCCCUUUUGUUGGGAAAGAAAAGCAGCAGGUUAAUACCCCGCUGUUCUGACGGUACCCAAAGAAUAAGCACCGGCUAACUUCGUG